GUGAAGAUUUACAGUUAGCCUGCCAGCUUCCCUAGUUGGAGUCAAGAAGCAUGUGAUUUCAAUGAACCCUUUUUCUUCCAUUCUUCUCAGUGCAGAGUUGGAAGAAGCACAUAAUUAUGACACAACAAUUUCAUAUCUGAGACACUCUGGCAACUCCAUUAACUUGUGUGCUGCAGGAGAAAGUGCUGAAGCCACUUAUGAAAUUGAGAUUGAAGAACUCCAAAAGCCUCAGAGGGGUAUUCUCCUUCCAGAACUGAGUCCUAGACCUAAAGAUGGAGAAAACACCACAAGGGAAAAGGAGCCAUGUGCAUCAGAACCUCCAAAGCCAGGGAAGGUGUCGUACCCUAAGCAUCCUUCCAAGGUAUCUGUGUCCUAGGGGUCCUGAUGUGGUUCAACCAUGUGAUCUGCCUUAAGUAUGUAUCUGAUCAGUAUCAUUCACUGCUUGUCUGUCAAAAGUAAGAACUAAAAUCCAAACUCCUUGAUUUGUAUGUAACACCACUCAGAAUUCAGCCACCGCCCAUCCCGCUUUCAGCCUCAUCUCAUCUUCCUCAUCUAUUUCUUCCCCCUUUCCUUUGGCUUAGUUCUCACUACAGCUUCCACCCAACCCUCCUAGGCCUCUGACACUUCUCCAUUCUUUGCUCAUUCUGAUGAAUCUGCCAGACAUUCUUUUCCCCUUCGAUCUGUCUCCUACCUACAUUUUACAAGAUAGGCUUGAACGCAUUCUGCUUUUGGAAGAUUUCCUGAACUCAAUCUCCCAGUGAAAAAGACAAAUCUCUCCAUCCUCUGUUUCCAGGGCUGUGAACCCUUCCAUAAGUAAUAUCACAUUGACCCUAAUUUCUCAUGAAUGUGCACCAUGACCUGUAUUUGAGAUGCUCAGUCAACUGUCUGGGCUACUACCAGAGCUUCCCAUGCUAUCUUAUAUUCAGUACAGGUCUCAUAGGUCAGAAAAUGGAGACUUGGGAAGGGACACAGGUAGUGGAUAGAAAGAGAAAUGUCAGGUAAACUGUAGGGAAGGAAGGAGAAGUAACCAACAGCUUCCUUAUAGGUGAUGAGAACAGGGAUGGAGGGCUAAGCCCUCCCUCAGUAGAUUACUAAUAGUGUGGUCCAUCAUCAGUUAUUUGACCUACCUAGAUGCUUUAUCAAGAGGACUAACAGCGGGGUUGGAGAUUUAGCUCAGUGGUAGAGCGCUUGCCUAGCAAGCGCAAGGCCCUGGGUUCGAUCCCCAGCUCCGAAAAAAAGAAAAAAGAAAAAGAAAAAAGAGGACUAAUGGCAUUUUUUUUCUCAUGGGAUGCUAUGACGAUUGACAUAGAAGGAAGAGCCUGACGUAGAGCUAGCACUCUCGAGGGCCUACCUCUGUGGGACUCAUUAGCACUCAGAAAUAAAUGAAGGGCAUGGUGUGUACUCUAAGAAGACAUGGGGUCUGGUAAGAGAGCACUCAACAGCUAGUAAUAAUAAGACGUGUUCCCACUGAGGAGAACAUCCUGAAGACCAGGUUGCGUGAGCAAGGAACUGAGGUGGCAAUCAGCCCUAGCAGUGCUCUCCUUGCAUGUGUUUAGAUUGCUGUCUGCGAAGGGACUCCAGGAAAAACGCAGAUGUCUGGAGUCCAGGAGAACAGAAGGAGUAUGCCAGCUGGAAACCAGCAAGCCAUUAUCGACAUCAUUCAGAGCAGGCACUUCCAGGAGGAUGCGAUGCUGACUAGGCAUUCCCAGGGUAAGAGUAAGUUGCAUUUCCCCUGGGCUCUCAUUACCACCAAACUGUUUUAAAGGGAAUUGUGGCUGAGAUCAUAAUUUACUUAUGGAUAUAUAAAGGACAUUUAUUAUGUACCUAGUAACUCACCUGGAAAGGCUAUCUCCCCAGAGCAGUGGAAAGAUCACUAGAUUUAGAGGCAAAGGGCUUGAGUUCAAGUCUACACAUAAGUGAACUUAAGGGUUGUAUGGUUAGUUCGUAUUCCAGUAGUCCAGUAGUUCAAUUUCUCUGUUACAAGGGGAAUCUGAACAUGAACUUCACAGGAAUGUAAUGAGGACCAGCUCCAACAGCAUGUCAUAUGACAGUCUUGCUCUUUUCUUGUCUACCGUCUGACCCCUGCUCUCACCAUUGACAAGCGGAUGUAUCACUAAGUGGCCAUUUCAGCUGCAUUUCAAAAUUCUUGAGUAUAAACAACAAUAAUUAAAUCAUACUUUGUUAAACCACAUACAUAAAAGGGGCUCACUUGGCAGAAAUUCUAGGCUUGGUUUGAUCCAGGAAUACAGAUAAUACCACAAGGACAAAGUAUCCUGAGUUCUCCUCUGAGGUAACUCUAUUUUUCAGGCAGAGUUGGUUUCUGUUCCGUCAAGCUGGCAGCAAGCAGUGAGAGUUACAAUCUAUUCUCUGAUAAGCCCCAAAGGAAAACUAGUAAUUUUUGUCUCUCAAAAUUGAUUUGAUUGGAUCAUGUGCCCUCUCAAUUUAAAAAAAUGCGAUGCCCUGAUGGAACCUGACUGUGUCAUACAUGGAGCUAGGGGUGGAUAGAUUAAUUUCUACCAAACAACAUACCAUCUGUCUUGGUGACUUUUCUGUUGUUGAGAAGAGACACCAUAAUCAAGAUAACUUAGAUUUCAUGACCAUCUUGUCAGGAAACAUGGCAGCAGACAGGCAGGUAUGGUGCUGAAGCAGUGGCUGAGAGCUUGUGUCUCAUCCAUAAGCACAAGGCAUGUGAGGAAGAACUAAUGGGGGAUAGUAUGAGCUUCAUUAAAGUCCACCCCAAUGAUACACCUCCUCCAACAAGGCCACACCUCCUAAUUCUUCUCAAAUAGUUCUACUAAUGUGGGACCAAGUAUUCAGAUACAAUGAGUUUAUGUGGGCCAUUCUCAUUCAAACCAAGACUUCAUCACAUGGAAGGAAAACAGGACAGCUGUUGUCAGGAGAAUGAGAGUAGAUGUUUCAUGGAUGAGGAAAUGCACACUGAAUGAAGCACACUGGGUCAUUAUAAAGCCAUGGAUGUGAUGUAUACUGCCAGACUAGAAUGAAUUCAAUGAUCAAAAGGAUGAUCCUUGACAUUUACUCUAGGCUCAUGGGCUUUACCUAUGCCACACGUAUGCCCCCUGCAUACUCUCUGCCCUGGAGGAAUGAUUUCAGACAGGUCAUAUGCUUUGAUGGCCUUAAAUUUUGACUUGAUCUCUUUCCUCCACCUAGAAUGUUUUAUGUCCACUCUCUUAUCUUACUGUGUCCUACUCAUCUCUACAAACUCAUCCUUGAAGUCACUUCUGGAGUUUACCUUAGCUUCACCUCAUUUUUCCCUUAGCCCAAAUAUUAAUUUAUUUUAUCCUGAAAAGACUUAGACAAACUAGGAUCUAUUUCUUAA
rnacentral:lncRNA from 1 species